rnacentral:lncRNA from 1 species
UAGCCCAUUCUUUUAUUCAUUCCAAUCCAUAUCUAAUCAGAUAAUCGAUUCAUUUUUGGAAGUGCGGGUUAAGCCCAUUCCAUUCACUCACGAGUCACGCCCACCUCUCUCACGCAGCUCUCCCUCGCCUCUCUCACGCAGCUUUCUCUCGCCUCUCUCUCCGCCCCUCUCUCUCGCCUCUCUCUCUUCCUCGCAUCUCUCUUUCUCAUCACUCCUUCCUCGCAUCUCUCUCUCAUCUCUCUCUUCUUUUUCUGCCUCUCCCCCUCUUCAGUCGCCUCCAUUGUUGCUCUCAGACAAGGGCGAUUCAGAGUUCAGACUCUCGCAUCUUCGACUCCGCAGAUUUCAAUAAGCUCCAUGUCCGACGCAUCUCAAGCAUUCACUUUACCAUUUGCAACGAUUUUGAGAUCUAAAAUUAUCUAAGCAUACAGGUUCGAGCUUGAUCUAUUUGAAUUUUUUCAUCAAUUCUGCUAAAUUGUGUAAUUUGUAGACUGAUUUAGAUGUAUUCUCUGUUAAUCUGGCUGAUUUAUGUGUUAACCUUUACUUAAUCUGACUUUUUAGUUGUAAUUUUGUCUGAUUUGUCACUGGUUUGUCUGAUUCUUGGGCUUUACACAGUUUUAUUGAAUCAUAUAUCUUUGCUGUUGGGGUUUCAACUCUUCUGAACUGGGGAAUUUUCUUCAAGGAGAUAAUUUUAGGUUUGUUACUCUUUAGUCUUGAUUUAAUGAUAAAUUUACUGAUCUUGUACUAGUUUAUGAAAUCAGUGCUCUUUUAAAUUUUAGGUUUGGCUCUGGGCAUUCACAAGCUUUUAAAUUGGCAGUCUCAAGCUUAUUGGUGUAAUUUUUGGUCAGUCUGAAAAGCCAUAGUAUGUUGUUUUCUUUGCUGAUGUGCCUGCAAAUUAUCUUUUCAUGUUGCACUGCGAUACUGAGUAUAGAAUAGCGUGUGUUGUUGAUGAGUGUAUGUUUUCAUUUCUUUUAUUGCAGUAAGUUAGGUGUGUGUCUUUCAGACGUUCAAAAAUAUCUGCUAAAACAGGAGAAGUUUCGGCUGCAAUCAUAGGUUAGCUCCUUUCAAGCUUGACAAUACUGGAAAAGCAAUACUAACAGUAAUCUGGUUCUCUGUAUACUGGUUAAGCUGGUUCUCUGUACUAGCCUUGUUAAAUAUCUUUUGAUGAUACUGAGAUGUUAAAUGUAUUGCCAUUUGCGACCCCUUUUCUAUUCAAGACAUUCAUGUGCUGACAUCAGGAAUGAGUAUGAAGCUUAUAAUUUGGUUAGGUUGGCAAGUAGUAAUCUGAUUUCUGUUCUAAUGCUCCCGAGUUUUUAACGAUAGAAGAGAAAAAAAGUGAUAUAAAAGUUUGAGACAUAUAUUUUAGGACCAUGGUUAUUGUAUAUAGAUAAUUCACUCAGAAAUCAUUCACUUUUUUGAAUUUCAAAAGGUGAAUUCAAUUUUUUUUAUUAUAUUUCUGAUGACUACAUUUCUCGUUUUAACUUCUGGUUUAAAUUGGUUUAUAUAUUAACUUAUAUGAUCUUUGUAAUCAACGAUGUAUAUGAUGAUAAUAACAUCGUUUUCUUAAAAAUUCUGUUGUCUGAGUAUGUUUUAUACAUCAGAUGUUUGUAAUAACCGAUGUAUAUGCUAAGAAUAACCUCAGUUUUUACAUAAAAAGUAAUGUUUAGAGUUGGAUUUUACAUCAGUUCUUGUUUUAAUAAGUGUUGUCUUAAGUGUUUUUUGACAUCUUCUUUUGAAAUAAAAUAUGAUGUGUAUUUCGUUUUUUGCCACUAGUUUUCAGUCACAUGCACAUCAUAGAACCCAAAAUACUAUUCAUAUUCAUUCAUAAAAACCGCAAUACCAAUAUCCAACAUUUAAUCAUAUACAACCAAUAUACCAAAAAAGCCCAAACUACCAAAAUCUAAAGUCAUCCAAAAACUCCAAACUAAAAUAAUCUAGUUAGCCAUCGGCCAAAAUCCAAACUCCAAACUCCAAACUCUUUGGCGGCCUGUAAAAGACAUAUACUUCAUGUUAAUUAUGACUUAGAAAUGAAUAAGAAAAAUACCAAUCAACGCGAACGAUAAAUAAAUGAAUAAGAAAACACACACNUUAGCCCAGAAUGGAAUGAGCCAUUCCAUUCCAAAAAUAAAAUUUUUUGUUUGGUUGGCCCAAGGAAUGGAAUAGCCCAUUCUUUUAUUCAUUCCAAUCCAUAUCUAAUCAGAUAAUCGAUUCAUUUUUGGAAGUGCGGGUUAAGCCCAUUCCAUUCACUCACGAGUCACGCCCACCUCUCUCACGCAGCUCUCCCUCGCCUCUCUCACGCAGCUUUCUCUCGCCUCUCUCUCCGCCCCUCUCUCUCGCCUCUCUCUCUUCCUCGCAUCUCUCUUUCUCAUCACUCCUUCCUCGCAUCUCUCUCUCAUCUCUCUCUUCUUUUUCUGCCUCUCCCCCUCUUCAGUCGCCUCCAUUGUN